UCGGCGGCCGGGGAAGGAGGUCCCGGGCCGACGCGGCCCCGUGCGAGUGUGGGCUCAGUCUCGAGGGUCGCCCCUCACGCGGGCGCUGGGGAGUCGCGGGAGACGUCGUCGUGAGCUCCGCGUUCCGAUGCCCUUUCGCUUCCUCCGCCGCCUCCACCUCCCCCCAGGUCGGGGAGGACGGCGCCUAUCGCUGGGAUGAGAGUUCUCUAAGUAAUCUCUGAAGUGGAAAGCAGAACUUGUCUUAUUCUUUGUAACUCAGUACUGAGAAUGGUAACACCGAACAGGCAUCAAGGUACUUUUCAGUUACAUCCUUUUACCUCAAAUGCUUUCCCUGCACCUCUAAUUUUUGUCUACACCAUUCUGGUUGCCCAACACAAGGAAGGAUUGUGGAGUAGAAGCCAUGCCCAUGAUAGAACAGAAUCCAAGCUGGAGGACACCUCAUCCAUGGCUAUACGACCAGGAGACAAAUGGAAGCAAUGGUUCUGAUGCAGGAAAAGUGCAACAUGGAAAUUUGGCAUUCAGUACAGAAUUCUCGCUUUUAGAUGAAAGGCAUCAACUGCUACAAUUUCUUGCCUUUGAGCACUGAAUGUGUUAUCCUCCAGGUUAUUUAAUUUACUGUGAAAUUAUAUUUGCUGUGCUGCCACUUAGGCUAAGAUGACUUCUUCCAGUCUCUUGGGUUCUGUCCUUUUGAGGCCCAUGCCACUUCACUGCCCCUCCUUUCCCAUUCCCAUCUCCCCGAGGCUGCGGUCUGAGUAGCUGAAACUGGGGAACUGUAUGCACAGUAUACAAUACCUUUUCAUUAUUAAAACAUUGUAAAAGAUAAUGUCUCCAAAAUGUAAACCAUGGUUUUCUCCAUUGAAAAAUAUUUUCCCGAGGGUCUAAACUUGAAAAUCAAAUAUUAAAUAUAUUUGGUGUACAAAGGGUGAGUGAAAAAAGAAUAAACCUCAGGCCCAGCAAACUAGUCUCAAUUCCUUUAAGAAACCUCCACUUAGAAAGAAACCCCCGGCACGUGUAGCUCAGAGCCUUGUCCUAAAGGAGGCAUGAGAUGUUUACAGUACCUGCUUUGUAAAACCAGAUUCAGCCCUGUUACUGCCCACUGUGGAGUCCAGGUCUCCUGCUCCUCAGCUAAUGUCUUCUCCUCUACAUCACCCACUCUUGAGAAAAUUCUGUGGCUGAGCUCUGUAAGGUAAAUGGCAUGAUUGAGCAGCACUAAUCUGAAUACCUACAUUUCUAUGGAAUUACUAAGCAUGAGCUUCUUUGGAUUUAUACUAAAAGCCCUGUAAAUAAAAUAUAUGAAUAAAUCUCUUGAAUUCAGUCAAUACAACAAAAUUACACCAACAAAUAGUUAUCUACUGUGAUCUCAAGGAGCUGAAGAUCUGUUGAAAAGAGAGUUUGAAAGCAUGGAAGAGUUAGAUUGCCAAAUCAGCAAUACACCUAGUAAUCUCUCUUAAGAGCUGAGAAAGAGAAGCGUCACUUUAGGCUUUAGUGGUCUGGAGAGGUGUAAUGGAAAAUUCCUAUCUAUUCAGAACCAAAAAUCCAAAAGACCAGUAAAAUUUUUUAGAUAUAGAAUACUGUUUUUAUGCCUAAAGUAUUUUUCAAUAAGGCUGUGAAGUGGGUCUGAAAAAUAAACAUUAGGCUUUAUUUAAAAGUAGUCUUUAUAAGAAUAUUUUGUUACAGUUCUAAUUCUCUGAAUAAUAGUUAUUUUUGCAUACUCAUAUGUAUGGUAGUCAGCAUUCUGAAGGCUACAAUGAGAACAUCCACAAUAGCCCCAAUCCCACUGCAGAAUCACUGGAGGAGAUUGACAUAUUGAGUGUCAACAUACUAUAAAAAUGUAAAGAACUAUCUAGUUGUAUAAAUAUAAAUUAUCUACAAAAGUUUUAUUUGGAGAUAUGAAAUUGACGUUCUUGGCAGUCCCAGCUGAGCCAAAAUGACCACAACAGAUUCAGAGAAGCAGGACCAAAAUUUGAUUUAAACUAAAAAUUUAAACCUGAUUAUAUUGGUAAUGCCUUUUAUUUCCCUUCCAUUUAAAAAAAUAAAUAACUUUAAUGAGGUACAGUUUACAUAAAGCAAAAUACAUCCAUUUUAAUUAUACAUUUUGAGUAUUAUACAUUAAUUAUACAUUUUUGAGUUUUGAGAAAUUAAUACACCCGUGCGACCCACAUGGUACAUAGUAGAUACAGAACAUUUCCAACAUCCCAAAAUUCCCUUGUGCUCAUCCAGGUGGCCCCAGGCAAUCCCUGAUCUGUUUUCUGUCACUAUGUAUCAGAUUUGUCUUUUCUAGGAUUUUAUAAAAAAUGUAAUCAUACUGUAUCUGUAUACUCUUUGGUGUUAGGCUGCUUUUGCUCAGGAUAAUGUUUUUGAGAGACAUCCAUGUUGUAUGUUUCAUUUGUGCUUAUCACUGAGUAGUUUUCCCCAGCAUGGAUAUACCACAGUUUGUUUAUAUAUCACAAAUGUUAGUGGGCACU